CGCGUUUGAGGCAGUCUUGCGCGGCUAUCGAGGCCUCGGCGUUAACGCUUUGUUGCGAGCGGAAUGGUGUGCGCAUGUGUUUGUUGGUGUGUUUUGUCUGGAGGCCAUCACCGUUUACACAGAUGGGUUGAAACACUAGAACGCUACGUUAUCACGCUUUCAGGCGAACAAAGGUGCUUUUCACAACACCUACACCUGUUGUCGCCGGCGUACGUGAUGAGCACAAUGAAAGCAAGACUUUUCAUGUUUCUUUUUGUUUUGUUUGACGAUGUAUCUCCCCUCCUGGAUCCCAGACAUAUCAUGUAGUUAUGCACGUCUGCAAUUGCCGCCCAUCGCGAGGACAUCGCGUAUCACUCAGCGGGUAUUGAGCUUUCACUACAUGAUUGAUACUGGCUCUCAAGCACAUGAACUGCUUCAAACAGGUUGCACAGACCUGUAUAUGUUACAAUUAUUAGCGUGAUGUCAGUGUCCUCUUUUCCUCGGCGAUACCACCGAGCUUGACCGGGGCUUUUUGUUCCUCCUAAGUGGGGGGAAAGUUGGGCCCGAAGACAGCGAUGGGAAAAGGGCCGCGACGUGGAGACCCGAGCCGAGCCGAGCCGAGCCGAGUCGAGUCGAGUCGAGGGUGAAAGAGGUUAAGAACAUGAGACAAUUCUGGAGAGAGAUAGAGAGCAUAAAAAUGACGGGGUGGAGCGGAACAUGUGGAAAGGGGGAAAGAGGAUGAUGUGCUGGAGGCAGGUAUAUCUGCAUUCUCUCCACACACAGCAUCGGCCUGUCUUAGGUAUCUCCAUCCCAGCAGCACUCAGUGGCAGAUUUACAGCGUUUCUUUGUGCAUGUGUGUCUAUGUGUGGCUCUGUGUCGGAACGGCGGGGAUAAAUUGAGAGUGAGGAGGGAGAGAGCAUGUGAGUGGAGGUGAAGGGCAGCAAGCAAAUAGCAACCAUGUUGCAUUCCAUUGAUAGCGCAAUCCCCCUCCGCCCGAUCGCCGCCGUAUUUCAUCUUCCCUCUCUAACUUUAUCCAUCCAUCCUUUCCUCCGUCUCAUCUCUUCUUCUUCUUCUUCUUCUUCUUCCUCUUUUCCUGGCACUCAAUCGCUCCUUCCAUUGCUCAGCUGGGUCCCAGGCUGUAAAGCCCUCUCAGGGGGAAGGGUGUAAAUCAGUCUCCCCAUCUCAGGAGAGUUCCUGGAGCACAGCAGACUCAACAAAGCCUGGCUGUUGUGGAAGAGCAAAUGUUGGACCACGAAACACACUCUCAUUUGCAGGUGAAGCCCGCAUGUGUGCGCAGAUGCGCUCACACAUUUCUUUUUGUGCUGGGUUUCAAAAAAUGGAUUUGAUCUCUUCAUCGUCUAAACGUUUGCGUGCAUCCAGAAAAAAAAACCCUAUUCCCGCCACCCCACACCCUAAGGCCUUUUGUCCAGGGGUGGGAGGGGGGCGUCCAGACAAGCUUGUUGUCUCCUUUUAUUUUCUCAGACCCCCUCCUUCCUUUUCUGUACUUCCCACUCUGGUUUAUUGCACUUGAUUCUAAGCGUGGCCAUUCCUGAGAUGGCUCAGAUAGCAGCUGAAGCUAAAUUGCCCGUCAUAAAGUGUCUGCAAUAGCAAUGUAGCUCUGCUGCAAAGAGGUGUGAGGCAGUGAGGGCCCACUAUGAAAAUACAAGGUCCUCUUUUUAAUCUUUAAAUGUGGAAUAUGAACUCUGUCUCAACAUCCACAAAUCAGGAGAAUCUUCUUUAAACAUUAAACGAUUCGGUUGCAUGAUCGAUUUCCUAAGUGCCUCCUAAAUCACUUUUAUGCAUACAAUUUUCAGGAACAUUCGGCUAUUUGAGUGUGAGGGUUUUGGAGAAAAGUGACUGAAAAUCAAAAGUAAAAUGAUCUAAUGGUAUUUUGGGACAUCAAAAUGCUUCUCCGUGAUACUACUAAUUACUCAGACAAGACAGGCUGGUUAAAGUGACAUGUGGUGAUUUACGGGGCAGCCGUAUAUUCGGCUGUGCUAUGUACCUGUCAGAUGGCUGACAGAUGGAUGACUGCUGGGCUGUAAUUUCCCUUCCUGUUUGUAUCUGUUCUUGUGGAGCAACAAACACACUUGCAGGGCCUUGACUGCAGAGGGGGCACAUGUAAAAGUCUAACCGUUGCUGGCAUGACAACAGCAGCCCAUGCCCAAGAAGAAGAGACAAAGUAUGGCGGAGGAGAGCUGACUGAAGGAGAAUACAGAAGUCAGGAUUAUCGGUCGAGUUCACCGGGAGGGGAAGGCAAUUCAUCAGAGCGCGGCGAGAGAGGCGAGGCGGCGGAGAGAAAAGGAGAGAGGGAUGUAAGGGGGCAUCUUUGAGAACAUGGAAGGAGAGACAGGGGAAGGUAAAGGUGUGAGAGGAAAUCAAAACAAGACGGAAGGAAAAUGGGGGUCAAAGAUGGAGACGGAAGGGUGGAAAUGUGGUACAGUAUCACCUGGAAAUGUGUGUAACAGACUGAUGAUUAUAACAAGACAAGCUGAUGGAACGUUUGCACAAACUCACACUGAACCCUCCUAAUAUUGUUUCUUUAACAUUAAACAUGACAAAAGUGCCACAUUUAGACAGGACAAGAGUUUUAUUGGAGUUGCUGUACUGUGAGGCACCACGAGCAAUAUAAGUGCUUGAACGAAUAAAGAUCUUUUGUACUCGA